UACAUGAUUCAACACUAUUCAUCCACACACUACUAUUCCUUAUCCUUUGGUAGCAGCAAUAUAAGACUGCCAAAUGCCUUUCCUUGUCACUGAAUUGAACUGUAAUAGGAAGAUCUAGUUAGCUUGCUAUAGCUCCUUCCAUGUCCAUAUCUUCACUUGCGCGCUCUUGUUUGUUGAAUAGACCUAUGACCAAAUAAGGGCACGUGCAAUUAUGCAGCUGCAGAUUUGCAGCUGCACACAUCAACAAAAAUUAUUUGCUGGAGUUUUUAAAGAAGCAGACAAGUUGAGCUUUUAGAGAACGCUUUGAGAGUUGUUUGACAAAACUGUGUAACUAGAACCGAAUUUCUCCUAAAGGACAAGCAAAGCGCAAGUAAACACUUCAUUAGGGCUUAAACAAGGGAAGACCAAAGCCCAUUGCCCUAAGCUUCGUUCAGCAUGCACAACACAAGAUAUGAAGUUAAAAAAAACGUGUGGAGCAACCAUACUACUGGACACCCUUAAGUAUAGACAUAAAUCAAGGUAUGUGCAUGCUGCUGCCGUAUUGCCACAAUUUGUUGUCAGUGAUUAAUAUGUUAGUUCUGUUAGUCCUGCUUUUGCACACAAAACAAGAGUGUAACAGUUCAUUUUGUUCCAAAAAUAAUUGUCUUACUUCAACCUCUCUUCGUAUCACAUCUUUGUACUUAGCCUAUAAAGUCAGCAAAAGAUUUGUAGAAUUGUUGUUACUAGGUUACUAAACACCCCCUAAUCUGUAUGUAUAUAAAUUGUGCUUGAUCAGAGGCCGCUCUUACAAUUAUAAAGGUUGAAUAGUAGCAUCUCAAUUGCAUCUUUAUUGGUAGCCUCAGUGAACUUUGACCCUCGCUGAGACAUAUCUGCAGUGGGAGCCAUGCUUAUUGAUACUGCACGGUAUCUAUGUGCCAGUUAGCUUGGUAGCAGCUUGCUAGUGCUUUAGUUAAGAGACUGUCCCAUGGCGGAGUUUGAAUGUGUGCAGAUGAAAGAAAAUUGUACCUAUAUUGGCCUUAUGAAUUGUAGCAUUUUUUGCCAGGAAAAUAAGUAACCGCGGCCUCUGAUCACGCAAAUAAUUAUGAAUCUGCCACCUGUAGCACAUUGACCUUAAUUUUCAGUAUGAUUAUGAUAGCAAGUUGUUCCUCUUCAGAGUUUUAGGCAGACCCAUUGUUAACAUUCAUUUUGAAUUAUUUAUAGCAAGCUAUUAAUUGUUUUGACAAGGCUUGCAGUAUAGCAGUUCUUCCAAACCUUAUUGUUCUGCUCACAAUAAU